rnacentral:lncRNA from 1 species
UGCUCGCUGGCCUGUCUUGUCGUUGUAGUCGUUGCUGCACCACGCCUCGCUUCGCCCGAUUGCCGGAGUCGCAUUCCGGCCGCACAGCCACGCCAUGCCCGAGCCUUAGCAGGAGCUCGUGCUCGAGACCCUCGUAGAAGCAUGCAUAGGUGGUAGUAGCAGCGGGGAUGGGUUCCCCUCGGUGCCUGCAACCCCUGCUGGUGGUCGGUCACCGACAUCAUUGUCGCCGUUGCCGCCGCCGCCGUUGCCAUCGCCCCUGUGCAGGUGAGGUGGAGCCGACGCCUUUGCUGGUAUAAGAGCAUCUCCACUAGAAC